GAUGAAGAACGCAGCGAAAUGCGAUAAGUAAUGUGAAUUGCAGAAUUCAGUGAAUCAUCGAAUCUUUGAACGCACAUUGCGCCCCUUGGUAUUCCGAGGGGCAUGCCUGUUCGAGCGUCAUUAUAACCCAUCAAGCUCAGCUUGGUGUUGGGGCCUGCUGCACUGGCAGCCCUUAAAAUCAGUGGCGGCGCCAUCUGGCUCUAAGCGUAGUAAUUCUUCUCGCUAUGGAGUCCUGGUGGAUGCUUGUCAUCAACCCCCAAUUUUUCUAUGGUUGACCUCGGAUCAGGUAGGGAUACCCGCUGAACUUAAGCAUAUCAAUAAGCGGAGGA
rnacentral:misc_RNA from 1 species